rnacentral:rRNA from 1 species
UACGUAGGGUGCAAGCGUUAAUCGGAAUUACUGGGCGUAAAGCGUGCGCAGGCGGUUGUGCAAGACAGAUGUGAAAUCCCCGGGCUCAACCUGGGAAUUGCAUUUGUGACUGCACGGCUAGAGUGUGUCAGAGGGGGGUAGAAUUCCACGUGUAGCAGUGAAAUGCGUAGAGAUGUGGAGGAAUACCGAUGGCGAAGGCCAGCCCCCUGGGAUAACACUGACG